rnacentral:sRNA from 1 species
GCUGGGCACAGUGGCAUAUGUCUGUAAUCCCAGCAGCUUGGGAGGCUGAGGCAGGAGGGUUGAAAAUUCAAAGCCAGCCUCAG